CAUGCACCAGUGGGGUCCCUCGGACUGGUCUGUGGGAAUUGGGCUGAAAUUGGCAGUCUAACCUCCCCAAUGGGUUCCAGAUUGCGAGAGGGUGCAGGCCAGGCCGAGGGACCCCACUGGUGCACA
rnacentral:pre_miRNA from 1 species